AAAAAUUAUAAUAAUUAUUGUAAAAUAAAAAACAAUCAAGAAAAAAAUAUAAUUAUAUUAAGAUAACUUACAUACAUACACAUGUUAUGUUUCCAUAGAGAUCGAAAUUCAUCAGAGUAUCUGAUCAUACUCAUUUGGUGUUAGUUUCAGCUAGUUGAUGUGUUUUUCCAAAUAUUCGAAAAUUCAUUACAAAUAAUAAAUGAUAUUUCAUUCCGUUCUUCUUAUUCUCAGUUGUUAUACCUACUCUGAUAAUGGUUAUGGUCAUCAGGUCGGUCAAUUUUCAUUCCGUUCUUCUUAUUCUCAGUUGUCAUAUACUCUUGACAAUGGUUGUGGUCAUCAGGUAGGUAUGUCAAUUAUUGUGGGUGUCUCGCCUUAUUAUGUCUCACUGCAGUUUGGAUCAGGUCUGACUAUCGCAUGAACGCAUGUGAGUGUGACUUGCCCUGCACCACAAGCUGCUAUAUGGAGACGGUGUUACAUCUCCACUUGUGUUACGAAAAGAAUACGCGCUUGCACUAACAUCAGAUAGACGUUGAUUGAUACCAAGUUUUUAGAGUAUAGAAUAUUUUGUGCGAAAUUCAGUCCAUGAUAUUCCAAGCAUUUUCCUACAGCAAUAAAUCUUUAGUGCAUCUAUCUUUUUCUUCUCAAUUUCGCAUGGGAAACGCAAGAGUUUUGACCAGUCGGGUCUUAGUGGCUUUAGUCACGUUUCGGGCCCUUUCAGCUUGGAAAUUGCGGUUCUUCAUUGAUAAAUGAGUAGGAUAGAUUAAUGUAACCAUCACAUGUGUAAUAUCAUCUAUUCAUUCGAAGAUAACGCUUGCCUGUGCUAUGUAACAGGUCCUGGUUCUAUCGGCAAAUGAAAUAAUACGUUAUUCGUUCUGUAUUUUUGUAUUUUCAUGGUCAGCAAUGUUGUUCAGCGAGCACUUUCGCGAUGCGUAACUAUUAUCUAAUGAGCAUCAAUCCAGCAGAAAGUAACUGCCUUUAAAAUCAUCCUGAAUAGAAGAUAAAACGAUAAUCUUAAUUGAUGACUUUUCGUUGUUUAAAACAAUUUAAUAUUCAGCAUUUCAUUUAUUUUUCACUGUAUUAUCAGUCAGAUUACACAUGUCAAAAAAUGACAAUUGACAUUUAAAACGUUUUGUUCUCCAUGUUUAAGCGUUCUGUUAACCUUCAAAGCGUUUUGUUAACCUUGUUCCAUAUUAUCAUAACAUUGAAUUUAUCUUUUUAUUCUGAAGUUGUAGAAAUAUGGUAUGAUUACAUUUUUUGUUGUUUAAAUUAAGACAAAGAAAUUGGUAAUAUUUUCAUUGUCGUACACUCCGUCUAAAGACGGUACCAACACUACAUAGGUUUCUGCCAAUCUUCUUUAGUGUUACAAGAGAAGUGGUUACCAAUUUUAUAUAUUCGGAUAUUUGAUCCGAUUCACACUGUGUUGAUAAAAUUAACAAUGUGAUUUCUUCUAUAUGCAAUAGGCAUUCCAGCAAAUGUUUAUUGGGAUAGUGAAGAUUGCAUUUUUCUGAAUAUUUUUUCAUAGUUAUAAAUUGUGAAUAGAUUUCUUCACCAUCCCCUUCUAAAUCACUUUUACACAUUUCACAAUAACCAAUAUUUUUAUAAAUUGUUUUAAUAACCCAACCACUACAAUAAGCAGCUGCUGCGCAUUUUUCGAUGUUUAACGGAUUUUGGCUUUUUAUUAAAUUAUCAAUGUUAGUUAGAUCCAUGUUUAUGUGAUCAAAAUUUAUUAUUAUUCGGCAUGUGACGAUGCACAGCAUCUGGUGAGAGAUGCGUCUACUUCCAGUGUAGUUUUUUACCAUUUUAUACCUUAAAUGACGUCAUUUCCGCAAUUAUUUAAUAGGAAUUGAUUUGACUUACUUCCGUUUGCCGCCAUUUUAGUCACCUGGGGGCGAGCUUGCUCGGAGUUCUCCAUAGCGUCUUUAACUUCCAAACUAGCAACAUCGUAAGCAGAAACUCUGCUCAGAUUUUUACUGAAAUAAUUUAUUUCUCAACGUUCUUAUACUAAGUUUAAAAUUAAAAAGUGCAAUUGACCGCGCGUGUGUGACCGCGAACGACAUGUACGUGAUGGUGGUUGGCGCCAAAGGGGACGAGUGUCUUCCGGACGACGAGCAGGUGGACCCAGAGCGUCGGAUACCGGAGAAACUCGGACCCCGGCGAGAUUCAAAACGGAUGAAACGAGGUACGUGGGAUUCUGAUAGCUUUAACACUCUUUUCGAUCAAAUGAGCAUUCUCGCGAAUCUCUAUAUUGUAUAAAUAGAUUGAAUAACGUACCCACAACCAUCUUAUACAAUUUUAACGGCGGCCCCGUCAGCCCCAAUCGCAAACAUUACCAAUCAAAAUACGUUGUUAGCAUCACCACAAUCGAACGAUAACUCUUUCUGGUACGAGUUUCUUAAUAAAUACCCAUUUAAAAAGGCUCAUUGUGCUCAUAAAAUAAAGCACCUACAAAUGCUUUACCACACCAACAAAGCACUUUAAACUACAACUAUUAGUAGGCUGGGUGGCCACCCCCAACACUGAGCCAGCUUACAGCUUGAAUUAUUAAAUUCUAAUGUUUUUUGCAAAUCAAGAAGCUUAAUAAGUAUGACAAAAUGUGCUAAGUGCAUCGAACAUGUAUACUUCUAUUUUGCAACAACAUAUAAAUUGUAAUAUGACAUGCAAUAAACGUUUUUGAAUUUGAAUUUGAACAUGUCACGAACGUAUCCUGGCUAAAAUUCCUAAUAAGCAUUGUGCGAGGAGCACCCUCCCAGUGCUGGAUUUUUGUUCGACAAAAUCACCCUGUGCUCGUACUGGUGAUAUCUAAAAAAUAAUCCGACCUUGGUUCUCUAGCCGAUCACUUCAAGCAAAAUCAAAACAUAAUAAUAUCUUUAUUUGCUUAGACUGAUUAAAUUAGUUCUUACAAAUCGUCAAAUACUGAUAAAACAAAAAGCCAAGGAUUCCAAAUCAGUCCCUUCAGGUCCCCUUGACGACCAAUAAGUCAAAUGACCAUCCACUCAGCAAAUUCUAUGGAAGCUGCCUUUGAGCGUACCUAUCUUGGGCACUGGCAGGCGUCAUCAUUCUGUGGAGGUCAACCUUUUACCUGACAAUGGUUCCAGGGAUGCGUCUGCCAUUCACCUCCAAGCCGGUGCUUGCCCCUGCACCUGCAACACCGUGCUUUAUUCAGCGUCUUAACACUCUUGACUGUCUAGCGCUGACCAAAUAAGAAUAGCAAAGUCAAGUGACUUUCCACUCAGCAAAUUCUACGGAGGCUGCCUUUGAGCGUAUCUUGGGCAGUGGCAGGCGUCAUCAGACUGCGGAGGUCAACCUGUUACCUGACAAUGGUUCCAGGGAUGCGUCUGCCAUUCACCUCCAAGCCGGUGCUUGUCCCUUCAACGCCGUGCUUUAUUCAGCGUCUUAACACUCUUGACUGUCUAACGCUGACCAAAUAAACCGAAAUCCUGUUAAAACAGGUGCUGAAAUUACCAGAUAAGGCACCGCUCAGCAUGAGCCUGCUCCUCACAAUAUCCCUUCGCAAGAA